rnacentral:rRNA from 1 species
UAUGACUCUCGGCAAUGGAUAUCUUGGCUCUUGCAUCGAUGAAGAGCGCAGCGAAAUGCGAUACGUGGUGUGAAUUGCAGAAUCCCGUGAACCAUCGAAUUUUUGAACGCAAGUUGCGCCCGAGGCCAAUUGGCUAAGGGCACGUCCGCCUGGGCGUCAAGCAUU